GACUCCUUGGCGCAAUGGUAGCGCGGUGAGUUGGGACUUUCUGCGUCGCAUCAAGCAAUAUAUAUAUAUACUGAUACCAAAAACAGUCAGAUUCCAGCUCGGAAUUUCCUGAAGGUCAGGCGUUCGACUCGCCUAGGGGUCA
rnacentral:tRNA from 1 species